rnacentral:rRNA from 1 species
AACCGAGAUUCCCCCAGUAGCGGCGAGCGAACGGGGAGGAGCCCAGAGCCUGAAUCAGCAUAUGUGUUAGUGGAAGCGUCUGGAAAGGCGCGCGAUACAGGGUGACAGCCCCGUACACAAAAGCGCAUGUGCUGUGAGCUCGAUGAGUAGGGCGGGACACGUGGUAUCCUGUCUGAAUAUGGGGGGACCAUCCUCCAAGGCUAAAUACUCCUGACUGACCGAUAGUGAACCAGUACCGUGAGGGAAAGGCGAAAAGAACCCCGGCGAGGGGAGUGAAAAAGAACCUGAAACCGUGUACGUACAAGCAGUGGGAGCCCCACCACUAAGCCAGUGGUGAACUCCACAUACGCAUCCUUUGCUGAGGAUACGGUUAACGGAGCGAAAGCGACGUUCAACCUCAAAAGAAGCAGAGGGGGCUUAGUGGUGGGGUGACUGCGUACCUUUUGUAUAAUGGGUCAGCGACUUAUAUUCUGUAGCAAGGUUAACCGUAUAGGGGAGCCGGAGGGAAACCGAGUCUUAACCGGGCGUUAAGUUGCAGGGUAUAGACCCGAAACCCGGUGAUCUAGCCAUGGGCAGGUUGAAGGUUGGGUAACACUAACUGGAGGACCGAACCGACUAAUGUUGAAAAAUUAGCGGAUGACCUGUGGCUGGGGGUGAAAGGCCAAUCAAACCGGGAGAUAGCUGGUUCUCCCCGAAAGCUAUUUAGGUAGCGCCUCGUGAACUCAUCUCCGGGGGUAGAGCACUGUUUCGGCUAGGGGGCCAUCCCGGCUUACCAACCCGAUGCAAACUGCGAAUACCGGAGAAUGUUAUCACGGGAGACACACGGCGGGUGCUAACGUCCGUCGUGAAGAGGGAAACAACCCAGACCGCCAGCUAAGGUCCCAAAGUCAUGGUUAAGUGGGAAACGAUGUGGGAAGGCCCAGACAGCCAGGAUGUUGGCUUAGAAGCAGCCAUCAUUUAAAGAAAGCGUAAUAGCUCACUGGUCGAGUCGGCCUGCGCGGAAGAUGUAACGGGGCUAAACCAUGCACCGAAGCUGCGGCAGCGACAUUUAGGUGUUGUUGGGUAGGGGAGCGUUCUGUAAGCCUGUGAAGGUGGCCUGUGAGGGUUGCUGGAGGUAUCAGAAGUGCGAAUGCUGACAUAAGUAACGAUAAAGCGGGUGAAAAGCCCGCUCGCCGGAAGACCAAGGGUUCCUGUCCAACGUUAAUCGGGGCAGGGUGAGUCGACCCCUAAGGCGAGGCCGAAAGGCGUAGUCGAUGGGAAACGGGUUAAUAUUCCCGUACUUGGUGUUACUGCGAAGGGGGGACGGAGAAGGCUAUGUUGGCCGGGCGACGGUUGUCCCGGUUUAAGCGUGUAGGUGUGUGUUCCAGGUAAAUCCGGUUCACUUUAACACUGAGGCGUGAUGACGAGGCACUACGGUGCUGAAGCAACAAAUGCCCUGCUUCCAGGAAAAGCCUCUAAGCAUCAGGUAACAUCAAAUCGUACCCCAAACCGACACAGGUGGUCAGGUAGAGAAUACCAAGGCGCUUGAGAGAACUCGGGUGAAGGAACUAGGCAAAAUGGUGCCGUAACUUCGGGAGAAGGCACGCUGACACGUAGGUGAAGUGAUUUACUCAUGGAGCUGAAGUCAGUCGAAGAUACCAGCUGGCUGCAACUGUUUAUUAAAAACACAGCACUGUGCAAACACGAAAGUGGACGUAUACGGUGUGACGCCUGCCCGGUGCCGGAAGGUUAAUUGAUGGGGUCAGCGCAAGCGAAGCUCCUGAUCGAAGCCCCGGUAAACGGCGGCCGUAACUAUAACGGUCCUAAGGUAGCGAAAUUCCUUGUCGGGUAAGUUCCGACCUGCACGAAUGGCGUAAUGAUGGCCAGGCUGUCUCCACCCGAGACUCAGUGAAAUUGAACUCGCUGUGAAGAUGCAGUGUACCCGCGGCAAGACGGAAAGACCCCGUGAACCUUUACUAUAGCUUGACACUGAACAUUGAGCCUUGAUGUGUAG